UCUUCCCCUCUUCCUCUCUUUUUUUCUUUUCAUUUUAAUUUCCAAAACUUUGAAGCAAGAUCUUGAUCUCAUUUCUUAUCGAAAUUGAGUGCCGUUUGAGGCAAAACGAAGCUCGUGUCAAGCUCUACACAUCCAUACAAGCGAUUUCAGAUUUAGUGCACUCCUUGGAGUUCGAAUCUUAGGACCCAUUUCUAGGGUUUGUGAAGAAAAUUGGGGUUUUUGCUCAAUUAGAGGAACCGGUAAGGAGGUAGUGGAUGCCGAUCUUCCACAAGCUUAAGGCUGACUUGGAGCUCAUUUUGUAUCUUUUGUAUAUCUCCCAUUUUUGUAAGGCCCCAAAAGUGUAGUAAUGUGUAUUUAUUUUUCAAAACCAUGGUUAGGUAAUAUAACUAUGUUAUUAGAUGAUAUUUUGGAUGUGAAUUUGAUAACAUGUAAACCUUAUUGAUGAAUGGGGAGAGUAAUACUAGUUUGAAGUAUUAUUGAGGUCA